AGAAAGGGAGUCUAAUCCAUAGAUCUUUUUCCGCUCCUUUUCUAUCCAAUUAGUUUAUGUUUGUUCUAAUUACAAAACAAACAAGAACAAAUCUUUUAUUUUUGCAGGCCAAUCGCACUUUUGACUUUGGAAUACAGUCUCUUUAUCAAUAUACUGUUUCUUUUACACAUUCAAUUCAUAGAAAGACGAUGUACGGGAUACGGGAUCCUCGUAGUAGGCUGGACCAAAAUCCAGCCGAGAGAGGGCAGCCUUUAGAAGCAACAGGUUGGGAAACCAAGAGAAGGC
rnacentral:lncRNA from 1 species